AGAGUUUGAUCCUGGCUCAGAACGAACGCUGGCGGCAGGCUUAACACAUGCAAGUCGAACGGUCUCUUCGGAGGCAGUGGCAGACGGGUGAGUAACGCGUGGGAAUCUACCUAGUUCUACGGAACAACAGUUGGAAACGACUGCUAAUACCGUAUACGCCCUAAGGGGGAAAGAUUUAUCGGAAUUAGAUGAGCCCGCGUAAGAUUAGCUAGUUGGUGGGGUAAUGGCCUACCAAGGCGACGAUCUUUAGCUGGUCUGAGGGGAUGAUCAGCCACACUGGGACUGAGACACGGCCCAGACUCCUACGGGAGGCAGCAGUGGGGAAUAUUGGACAAUGGGCGAAAGCCUGAUCCAGCCAUGCCGCGUGAGUGAUGAAGGCCUUAGGGUUGUAAAGCUCUUUCAGUAGGGAAGAUAAUGACGGUACCUACAGAAGAAGCCCCGGCUAACUUCGUGCCAGCCGCCGCGGUAAUAC
rnacentral:rRNA from 1 species